AUGUGUGUACCAAAGGAAAGGGGUGGUAUGGGUUUCCGGGACACUCAUAGUUUUAACCAGGCCAUGUUAGCCAAACAAUGCUGGAGACUCAUUGAGAAUUAUGACUCACUUUGUGCAAAAGUUUUAAGGGCCAGGUAUUAUCCUUCUGGGGAUAUUUUGAACUGUGAAUUGAAGAAGGGCUCAUCCUUUGUGUGGCAAAGUAUUUGGGCAGGAAUACAAACGUUC
rnacentral:rRNA from 1 species